rnacentral:lncRNA from 1 species
CCCUGGAGACAGCAUCCAGCGUUUGAUUGGCCCGGAACUAUGUAGACGCGGCAAAAACCGGGCAAAACUGUCUAUAUUUGCGCAAAACUGUGCCAUCUCAGUUAUCCAGACCCAAGACGCACACAGACAGGAUUGUUUUUGAUGCUCUUUGCCAUAACAAAAUGAAACACUCAAUGGGACACAGGGUAAGAAAAAAAAGAAAAAGAAAAAAAAGUAUUUUCAAACCAAGAAGUUUGCGUACUAUUCAUGGUGAAAUGCUAUUUUUCUAAAGGGAAAGCUGGUGCCAAUGAUGCCAAGAAGCAGCAGUCCAGUCACUGUAUAUGUGGAGCUGCCAUGCAUCGUUGAACAAGCUUUUCCAACUACUAUUGCUUGGGAUGAUUUUGAAGACUGUUCAUCAGGAGUAACACAUGACACCAGCUCGUUUGGCAAUAGGGCUAAUGAUUGUAAUUCAGAAGACCAUAGCCUUCCGGAUUGUGCGCUGGAUCUUAUAGCAGGUG